GGAAUAAUAGUUUAAUUUUAAAAUAUUUAAUUUGCAUUUAAAUGAUAUUGAUUUAAUUUAUUUUAUUUAA
rnacentral:tRNA from 1 species